UCAGGGAGGGUUAAAAAUCCCCAAUUUUUGCAGUAGGUUUCAUCUGCUUGCAACAAAGAGGAUCUUCUUGUUGUGGGUUGUCAAAGAGGAGUCAGAUCGAUUUCUGCAACUGCUGAUCUUCUAACUGCUGUACAGGUAGAUGCUUAGCCAUUUUGGCAUCGAGACAUUUGUGGGGGGUAACCUUGGGAUUCAUAUUGGAGUUUGAAGUUUCAAUCUUGGGCUAUGAUUUUUGCAGAUUUUUGGUUUUUCAAUUUCUAUUUGGAGAGCAUAUGCAGAUAAGGUGAGUAUAUUUCAUAUUACUUUUGGACAAUUUGCUCAUUCAUCAGUUUCUGAUUGGAUUUUGUGUGGUAUAAAAUCCUAUAUUUGCAAAUAACCAGUUGUUUAGAGAGUGAGCAAUGUGACUCUGUUUUUUUGGUAGCUGGGUCUCUGUUAAUUAAGAAGAAAUGCUAGCUGUGCUUGUCUAGCUCUCUACCCCAUCACAUGAUCAUUUAAUUGCUAGUUGAAACAUGAAGUGGGAUCCAUUUAAUGACUUCUUGUUAUCUAAUUAGAUUGAUUGACAAAUUAGAUUUUCUUCUUC